CAUACUAUGUUAGCGUGAUCCCUGGAUUUUUCCUACUUGGAAAUCAUGGGCAUCUGCUUGCACAUUCAGCUCCUGACGUGGAGGGAUCCAUGACAGGCUGAGCCAGACUUAGAAUCGGAUGGGAAGACAAGUCAUUGGUGACAGCACUUGGACCUCAGUUAGGUGACGAUUCGGAGGGAAAAAAUGUUUCCAAAAUAUCCUGUUUGAAUUCUCAAAGAUGGACGUCAUAGGAAACAUCACGUGACAGCUCUGAUAACAGGGAUUUAUCAGUGACACUGGAUGCACAAGAGUCUUGUUUUCAGUAAGUGGCAACAGUGACUUCCUGGUGCUCUCUUCUGAUAGGAAAUUCCGGGAUGGUUUCUCCACUCCUUGCAUCAUCCACACCCCUUCAUCCCAAUUUUCUUUUAAUCUAUUGUGAAAGAACAAAAUCUAAACUAAGAAGACAUUAAAACUCUAAAGUUAAAUUCGUAGUAUUAAGUUAGUCUGUAAGAUUCUCCCGGAGGCUAACCACAUGGACUUGGAAAAUCUCCCCUUCUGGUUGGAAAGUCACUCCUUGCCUCCCAUCUUCAUGGAUGAAGGUGUCACAGCCUCAGCUCCACAAAUGUGCUGUUGCCUUGACAUAAGCUGGUCGCAAGGGAACCUUCCAGACCCACUGGGAUCUUGUAAAUUUGUACCUUCAAGAGAGCAGCUUGACUAAGUAUGGCUGGGAAAAUAAAUUUCCCUAAUAAGAGUUGAGUGGGCUGAGCUUUGCCAUUAUUGUUUUCUAUUUAUUUGGAAUGGUUGUACCACAGGGGGACCUCUCUGGAAUGACCUUUUCAUGAUGCAAAAUUAGUUUGGGAAAUUCAAAUUCCCCAAAUGGAACAAUAAUAAGAUGAAAUGGCCACAAAGGAAUAAAUUUGCCUCUGAAAUAAAAAAGUGCUUACCAAAUAAGAUUCAUUAGUGCAUGCUCCCACUUUAGAACAGACCUCUCUUCAGCUUCACUGAUUAGAAGUUAUCUCUUUGGCCACUGCUGUUUUCUUGUAUAUAACGAGCUUUUUGUAUUUUAUGACAUAAUCCUUCUGCUGUCCUCUCGUGGUUUGGUUACUGAAAACAAUCCAUGGAAGAGCUGAUAUUUCUGAAGUGCUUGUGAUGAGCUGAGAACGAUACCACAUGUCUCCUGUGCUCUAUCAUGGCAAACAUCUUAGAGCUGUCUCCUGGAAGAGCCCGCUGCAAACAGCGCCCAGGAGUGAAGAUGUGGACCUGUUUCGAUCCACUGAGCAGCAGUGGUGAAAGAAGCUCUCCAAACCUUGCUGCAAGCCAGACAUGGAGGUGCACAUCUGUAAUUCCACUAAAGGGGCUCAGGCAGGAAGAUGG